rnacentral:rRNA from 1 species
UCCUACGGGGGGCAGCAGUGGGGAAUAUUGCACAAUGGGGGGAACCCUGAUGCAGCGACGCCGCGUGGGUGAAGGAGUACUUCGGUACGUAAAGCCCUAUCAGCAGGAAAGAAAAUGACGGUACCUGACUAAGAAGCCCCGGCUAACUACGUGCCAGCAGCCGCGGUAAUACGUAGGGGGCAAGCGUUAUCCGGAUUUACUGGGUGUAAAGGGAGCGUAGGCGGUUUAGCAAGUCAGAAGUGAAAGCCCGGGGCUCAACUCCGGGACUGCUUUUGAAACUGUUGAACUAGAUUGCAGGAGAGGUA